rnacentral:lncRNA from 1 species
GCCACGACCUGUCCUAAUUCUGGGACCCAACCUACUACGUCUGCCCUUGUGUGCCCUGCCCCUCAUUGUCCCCCCCCCCCACCCCACUCCCCGCAAGGCUUGAGGCUGGCCCUGCAGGGCUGGCCGAAUCCCCGAGGCAGCAGCUGGAGGUUGCCAAGGAAGGCGAGGCUGGCACACCCAAGCCUUUGAGGGGGUCAGGGAGCCGCCCUCAGGCAGGGCCGUCUGUGGUCUGGGCUGGUCUCCCUGCCCACUGCCCCCGCCACUGUUCGGUCCCGGGAAAAUUUCCAGCCUGGUCGUCUGGCCCUGCUGCCCAGAAGGCUGAUUAAAGCACAAAGCACCGUGGGGAGGGAGGCUGUGUCAUCCAGACCUGCCGCCCAGGGUGGUGGAGAUGCAGGCCGGCAGCUGCUGUGAAGUGGCAGGUUCCUGGCCUCUCCCACCGCGAGGCCUCAGCUCCCGGGCAGCCUCCGAGGAGGCUGGGCUGGAUACCGGCUCAUCCCUGGUCCUUCAGCCCCCGCCUGGGCCCAGCGUGCUCAUCUCCAUGCUGUGUGGCCAGGGCCUGCCCUGCCAGACCCUGGGCUCCUUCCCACCCAGGGGCUCAGCCCGGAGCCUCUGUCCCUCGGCCUCCCUAGGCAGGAAGCAGCGCUCCUUGCAGCUCGGCCGGGCCUCCGGGUCCAGGCUCAGGAGCUGGGGCUUGGCCGGUGGCUCCCAGACCCUGCCCUGCCUCUGAUGUACAAGGAUAGAGUCCACAGAGAUGGUUCUGGUUUUUCUAAAACAUCUGUGUUCUCUCCCCCCUCCUCCCUCCCGGUGCGCAGAGGAGCCCCCAGCACACCCCAGGCCAGCCCUUGGCCCCAAGGGCCUCGCGGGAAGCAGGGACAGCCCUGGGAGGAGCCAAGGGUCAGAGAAGAGCCCUGAUGGAAGCCCUGCCCUGCCCACCAGCUCUUUUCUAGCUGUCCCCUGCCCACGCAGGGCGGGAGCACCGGUGUAUAUGUGUUUUGUACGUCUGCGAGGACUGUACAUAGUGUAUGGAUGUUAUUUAUGCUGUACAUUUCUGUUCCAAGACUGGAUGUGUGUUCUAAGAAGCCGUCGUAAAUAAAACACGAACG